UACAGAGGUCUCAAGCGUUGUUCGGAUUCAUUGGGCGUAAAGGGUGCGUAGGUGGCGGGGUAAGUCAGGUGUGAAAUCUCGGAGCUCAACUCCGAAACUGCACUUGAUACUGCUUUGCUCGAGUACUGGAGAGGAGACUGGAAUUUACGGUGUAGCAGUGAAAUGCGUAGAUAUCGUAAGGAAGACCAGUGGCGAAGGCGGGUUGCUGGGCCGACACUGACGCUGAUGCGCGAAAGCCAGGGGAGCGAACGGG
rnacentral:rRNA from 1 species